ACGAACGCUGGCGGCGUGCUUCACACAUGCAAGUCGAACGGAAAGGCCCUGCUUUUGUGGGGUGCUCGCGUGGCGAACGGGUGAGUAACACGUGAGUAACCUGCCCUUGACUUUGGGAUAACUUCAGGAAACUGGGGCUAAUACCGGAUAGGAGCUCCUGCUGCAUGGUGGGGGUUGGAAAGUUUCGGCGGUUGGGGAUGGACUCGCGGCUUAUCAGCUUGUUGGUGGGGUAGUGGCUUACCAAGGCUUUGACGGGUAGCCGGCCUGAGAGGGUGACCGGCCACAUUGGGACUGAGAUACGGCCCAGACUCCUACGGGAGGCAGCAGUGGGGAAUAUUGCACAAUGGGCGGAAGCCUGAUGCAGCAACGCCGCGUGCGGGAUGACGGCCUUCGGGUUGUAAACCGCUUUCGCCUGUGACGAAGCGUGAGUGACGGUAAUGGGGAAAGAAGCACCGGCUAACUACGU
rnacentral:rRNA from 1 species